UUCGCAGUGCCCGUGCAUCUUCUUCGCGUGUGGCCGUACUUCCGUUAAAUGGACAACGCGGCGAAAGUUUCAUUCUCAGUACGAUCGAAAUCUUCCUCAAAACCAAAAACGUCUCAGAAUCAAAACGACGACGGAGAUGAUCAGCCAAACAAACAAUACGUCACCGAAUUCGACCCCGACAAAACCCUAACCGAUUCCAAAAAACCUAGA
rnacentral:lncRNA from 1 species